rnacentral:SRP_RNA from 1 species
UGGAAGGGAGCAGCGAUUCUCUGCCGCUCGUGGAGCAGCCGCGCUUCGUGCACAACAGGAGCA